rnacentral:rRNA from 1 species
ACGCUCGACACCUACGGGAAGCAGCAGUCGGGAAUAUUGCGCAAUGGAGGAAACUCUGACGCAGUGACGCCGCGUAUGGGAAGAAGGUUUUCGGAUUGUAAACCAUUUUAGACAGGGAAGAAAAAAGACAGUACCUGUAGAAUAAGCUCCGGCUAACUACGUGCCAGCAGCCGCGGUAAUCUGAGCGGGCUGGCAAGGC